CCUUCGAUAGCUCAGUUGGAAGAGCGCAAGACUGUAAUAGGAUAUAAAUAAAUCUUGAGGCCACCGGAUCGACGCCGGUUCGAAGGA
rfam:Piloderma croceum F 1598 unplaced genomic scaffold scaffold_00009, whole genome shotgun sequence.